rnacentral:rRNA from 1 species
AGAGUUUGAUCCUGGCUCAGGACGAACGCUGGCGGCGCGCCUAACACAUGCAAGUCGAACGGAGCUUAAAGAGCUUGCUUUUUAAGCUUAGUGGCGAACGGGUGAGUAACGCGUGAGUAACCUGCCCUGGAGUGGGGGACAACAGUUGGAAACGACUGCUAAUACCGCAUAAGCCCACGGAUCCGCAUGGAUCUGCGGGAAAAGGAUUUAUCGCUUCAGGAUGGACUCGCGUCCAAUUAGCUAGUUGGUGAGGUAACGGCCACCAAGGCGACGAUUGGUAGCCGGACUGAGAGGUUGAACGGCCACAUUGGGACUGAGACACGGCCCAGACUCCUACGGGAGGCA